rnacentral:rRNA from 1 species
CCCUUAGAUGUUUUGGGCCGCACGCGUGCUACACUGAGUGGAUCAGCGGGUCAGGUUGCGCGAAAGUGUUUCCUAAUCUUGAAAUCCGCUCGUGAUGGGGAUUGACGGUUGCAAUUUUCCGUCAUGAACGAGGAAUACCUUGUAAGCGCGGGUCAUCAUCCCGCGCUGAAUACGUCCCUGCCCUUUGUACACACCGCCCGUCGCUCCUACCGAUUGAGUGGUCCGGUGAGGCUUUGGGAUCUGAGCAAAAAGAGCGUUUCGCUCGUUUGGCUCGGAAAACUCAGUCGAACCUUAUCAUUUAGAGGAAGGAGAAGUCGUAACA